rnacentral:misc_RNA from 1 species
AGACAAGCACAUGAAUUAGACAAGCAUAAUUUGACUCCUCAAAUAUUCCCAUUGCCAUGAUUCAAGAAUAGAUACAAUAUGCAGAUAACAGCCCAGCAGAAAGCAAAAUGGGGAAGCUAAAUUUCAUUAGACACCAGAUAGUGCAGCAAUUAAUCAUAAUUGAUUAUUCAAUAUUUUUAUUCUCCACAGAAGACACUGCACUAACUAAUCAUAAACUACCUUCACAUAUCCAGCUAAAAUCAAGAUCUAGGUUUUCAUCAACUUAAUGACACUCCACAAAACUACAGCUUAGUUUUAAAAAAUACAAGACCGGCAUAAUAGUUGUCUCUCUCAUCCUUUGACUGUCUAGAAUUGUUUUCUUAUAAUGCUAAUUAAUAAUAAGCAGAGUUAACACAACAAUUAAGGAUGGUGGCCCAGCCACUACCAUGUGUUUCUUGAGUAGCAAUAUUAAAAAGGCAAGUCAAUAAUAAAUUUUGACAAUCUAUUACAAAGAAAGAAAGUAUGCAGCAAGCAUCAACCUCCUUAUCUUCUGCAAAACUUCCUUUUCAGGAUCCUUACUGCUUUCCCAAGUCUCCUUCAGCUUCUGCAAAUAUUUUAUCAUACCAUUAUGGUACUUCUGUAUCUCAGAGUAGUAUGCUUUCUUAUUAGACUUUAUGCACAGCUGCUGAUGAAUAACAGCAUCAGGGUGAAGAUUUCCUGAACAAAGUGAAUCACCCCAUUUGACAAAAGGAUUUCCAAAAUGAAAGUUGUCCCCAGCAAGCAAUGCUUGCACAACUUCUUCUGCAUCUGACCCUUUUGGUAGAAACUGCAUAAGAUAUUCUCUCUCAUUUUCUGACAAAUCGUUCUGCCAAACCUCAUAUGAAAGCACCUCAUUCAAAUUAUCCACCUCAAAAAUUUCUUGAGGAAUAGCAAGAACAUCUGCCAAGAUAUUGUGAUGUUGAGGAGCAGGAUCAACAAAUGCCCUCAAAUCAUUCUGACUUAAGCCAAUUUGUUCCCUUUUGGCAACAACCUUUUUACGGUUGCCAUCCCACUCCAGAGAAAUAUGAGACUUUACAUUUAACUUGUUUUUUGGUGAUUCCAAUUUUUUCUUUUUGGUUUUGUAUUGCUCCCAAGAACUGCAACCUGCAAUGCUGGAACCAUUAAGCCUUUUUCUUCGGUGAUCAGCCGCCAUUGACAGAAGAUGUUGACAAAUCCUCAGUGGAAGAUUAUAACAACAUAUUGAUCAAAGAUAACAAACACCUUCCCUCCAUAUGGUAACCUUGAAAGACCGAAUGAAUGUCCGUGGUCUCCAGAGCCCUAGCUAAUCCGCCGUCGUGAAGGCUAAUAGUGCUAAAGCACAAACGACAGCAGGCGAGGAAGCGAGCGAGCGAGCGACAGAGAGAGAGAAAUAGGUUUACCUUGGUUUUGGAUAAUCCGAUUGGCUAAUGGCCAGGUGUUUUGAGAGAGACACACACACGCACCACAAGAGGGAUUAGAGAAAGAUCAGGUUCCUCGGAACGGUUACGCUGAACAUUGAAUCGUUCAUUCGCGCGCUCGGGCGCGGCUUGGCUCCUACCUAUUGCUCCUUUGUCUUU